AUUGAACGCUGGCGGCAGGCCUAACACAUGCAAGUCGAGCGGAUGAAGGGAGCUUGCUCCUGGAUUCAGCGGCGGACGGGUGAGUAAUGCCUAGGAAUCUGCCUGGUAGUGGGGGAUAACGUCCGGAAACGGGCGCUAAUACCGCAUACGUCCUGAGGGAGAAAGUGGGGGAUCUUCGGACCUCACGCUAUCAGAUGAGCCUAGGUCGGAUUAGCUAGUUGGUGGGGUAAAGGCCUACCAAGGCGACGAUCCGUAACUGGUCUGAGAGGAUGAUCAGUCACACUGGAACUGAGAAACGGUCCAGACUCCUACGGGAGGCAGCAGUGGGGAAUAUUGGACAAUGGGCGAAAGCCUGAUCCAGCCAUGCCGCGUGUGUGAAGAAGGUCUUCGGAUUGUAAAGCACUUUAAGUUGGGAGGAAGAGCAGUAAGUUAAUACCUUGCUGUUUUGACGUUACCAACAGAAUAAGCACCGGCUAACUUCGUG
rnacentral:rRNA from 1 species